rnacentral:rRNA from 1 species
UAGGGAAUCUUCCGCAAUGGACGCAAGUCUGACGGAGCAACGCCGCGUGAGUGAAGAAGGAUUUCGGUUCGUAAAACUCUGUUGUUAGAGAAGAACAGCGCAUAGAGUAACUGUUAUGCGUGUGACGGUAUCUAACCAGAAAGCCACGGCUAACUACGUGCCAGCAGCCGCGGUAAUACGUAGGUGGCAAGCGUUGUCCGGAUUUACUGGGUGUAAAGGGAGCGUAGGCGGCAGUACAAGUCGGGAGUGAAAACUCGGGGCUCAACCCCGAGACUGCUCUCGAAACUGUACAGCUAGAGUGCAGGAAGGGCAGGCGGAAUUCCUGGUGUAGCGGUGAAAUGCGUAGAUAUCAGGAGGAACACCGGUGGCGAAGGCGGCCUGCUGGACUGUAACUGACGCUGAGGCUCGAAAGCGUGGGGAGCGAACAGG